UGAUUGAGGGGUCCAUCCCGGAUUACCAAUAUCAGAUAAACUCCGAAUGCCAAUGAGAUAUAAUCGGCAGUCAGACUGCGAGUGCUAAGAUCCGUAGUCGAAAGGGAAACAGCCCAGACCACCAGCUAAGGUCCCAAAAUAUAUGUUAAGUGGAAAAGGAUGUGGGGUUGCACAGACAACUAGGAUGUUAGCUUAGAAGCAGCUAUUCAUUCAAAGAGUGCGUAAUAGCUCACUAGUCGAGUGACCCUGCGCCGAAAAUGUACCGGGGCUAAAACAUAUUACCGAAGCUGUGGAUACCUAUUAUAGGUAUGGUAGGAGAGCGUUCUAUGUGUGAAGAAGGUGUACCGUGAGGAGCGCUGGAACGCAUAGAAGUGAGAAUGCCGGUAUGAGUAGCGAAAGACAGGUGAGAAUCCUGUCCACCGUAAGACUAAGGUUUCCAGGGGAAGGCUCGUCCGCCCUGGGUUAGUCGCGACCUAAGGAGAGACCGAAAGGUGUAUCCGAUGGCCAACAGGUUGAUAUUCCUGUACUAGAGUAUAUAGUGAAGGAGGGACGCAGUAGGCUAACUAAAGCGUGCGAUUGGAAGAGCACGUCUAAGCAGUGAGGUGUGAUAUGAGUCAAAUGCUUGUAUCUCUAACAUUGAGCUGUGAUGGGGAGCGAAGUUAAGUAGCGAAGUUAGUGAUGUCACACUGCCAAGAAAAGCUUCUAGCGUUAAUUAUACUCUACCCGUACCGCAAACCGACACAGGUAGUCGAGGCGAGUAGCCUCAGGUGAGCGAGAGAACUCUCGUUAAGGAACUCGGCAAAAUGGCCCCGUAACUUCGGGAGAAGGGGCGCUGGCUUUAAGUCAGCCGCAGUGAAUAGGCCCAAGCAACUGUUUAUCAAAAACACAGCUCUCUGCUAAAUCGUAAGAUGAUGUAUAGGGGGUGACGCCUGCCCGGUGCUGGAAGGUUAAGAGGAGCGCUUAGCGUAAGCGAAGGUGUGAAUUGAAGCCCCAGUAAACGGCGGCCGUAACUAUAACGGUCCUAAGGUAGCGAAAUUCCUUGUCGGGUAAGUUCCGACCCGCACGAAAGGCGUAAUGAUUUGGGCACUGUCUCAACGAGAGACUCGGUGAAAUUUUAGUACCUGUGAAGAUGCAGGUUACCCGCGACAGGACGGAAAGACCCCAUGGAGCUUUACUGCAGUUUGAUAUUGAGUAUCUGUACCACCUGUACAGGAUAGGUA
rnacentral:rRNA from 1 species